GUGUAAUUCGGACAAGCUUUCAGAUCAGCUGUGGACAGACAGAGUAAAUCAACCUGCAUGCUUUUUUCUGCAGAUAACUAAAUAGAUAGCAAAGGAAUAUAAAGAUACGAACUAACUAGAAGACCCUGAGCAGACAGAGGAGAGGAAAAGGGAAGCUUUUUUAUUUAAAAAAAAUCUGUGUCUUGUUGGGGAAAGUCUUGUUCUCUACUCCGUGCAUGUUUUACAUUGGAGAAGUGCAUUGGUGCUUUUAAUCGGCCAGACGCGGUCUAGUUUCCAAGCGGAGCGGCAAGACAACACCAGAGACAUGAUUUUGAGACUGGGCUCGGUUGUUGGCGUUGCUGCUUUUUGUUUACAUGCGUUAUUGUUGUGGUUUUAUGCAAAGGUGGUGGAGGGAACCGGUCAGUUCGAGUUGGACAUCUUAUCGAUGAACAACCGGAACGGCGAGCUUCUUAACGGGCAGUGUUGUGACGGUUCACGGAUCACCGGGGAUCGGAAAUGCAGGACGGAUGAGUGUGAUACGUAUUUUAAAGUGUGUUUGAAGGAAUACCAGUCGCGGGUCUCGGCUGCGGGACCGUGCAGUUUCGGGUCCGGAUCUACGCCUGUCCUGGGAGGAAAUGUAUUUUCUUUGAAGAGCUCUGCGAGGAAUGAAAGAUCUAGGAUUGUUUUGCCGUUCAGUUUUGCCUGGCCAAGGUCAUACACGUUGAUAGUGGAAGCCUUGGACGCUAAUAACGACACGAGUGGUGGUGAUGGUCAGGUGAUUGAGAAGGCGUCCCACUCUGGGAUGAUCAACCCCAGCCAUCAGUGGCAGAAGCUCAGCCACAACGGUCCUAUUGGUCAGUUUGACUAUCAGAUCCGGGUCAGCUGUGACGAGCACUACUACGGCUUCGGAUGCAACAAGUUCUGCCGACCCCGAGACGAGUUCUUCGGACACUACACCUGCGACUACAACGGGAACAAGACCUGUCUGGAGGGCUGGUCUGGACUAGAAUGUAACACACCUAUCUGUCGGCAGGGCUGCAGUACAGAACAUGGACACUGCAAAGAGCCAGAUGACUGCAAGUGUCUGUAUGGCUGGCAGGGGCAGUACUGUGACCAGUGUAAUCCUCACCCUGGCUGUAUCCAUGGAACCUGUGUUGAACCAUGGCAGUGUCUGUGUGAUACCAACUGGGGAGGACAUCUCUGUGACAAAGAUCUGAACUUCUGUGGGACCAAACAGCCAUGUCUGAACGGAGGAUCCUGCAGCAACACGGGACCUGACAAAUACCAGUGUUCCUGUGUUGAGGGCUACUCUGGAGUCAACUGUGAGAGGGCAGAGCAUGCGUGUCUCUCCAACCCCUGCUCUAAUGGAGGGAACUGUGUCGAGACCAGUCAGGGUUAUGGGUGUGUAUGUGGAGCGGGUUGGAGCGGACCCUCCUGUAGCAUCAAUGUUGAUGAGUGCUCUCCUAACCCCUGUAACCACGGUGGGACCUGUCAGGAUCUGGUUCAUGCUUAUAAGUGUCACUGUCCUCCUCAGUGGACCGGCAAGACCUGUCGCAUAGAUGCCAACGAAUGCGACAGCAAGCCCUGUGUCAACGCCAACUCCUGCCGCAACCUGAUUGGUGGAUACUUCUGCGAGUGUGACGCUGGUUGGACGGGGCUGAACUGUGACAUCAAUCUCAACGACAGUAAAGACCAGUGCCACCACGGAGGAACCUGCAUGGACUUGGUGAACGGGUUCCGCUGUGUGUGUCCUGCGGGUUACUCUGGAGACCACUGUGAGAGAGAUGUGGAUGAAUGUGCCGGCGCUCCAUGUCUGAACGGCGGGCGAUGCCAAGACCAGGUCAACGGAUUCACCUGCCUCUGUCUGGCCGGGUUCUCUGGACAUUUCUGCCAAUUGAAUAUAGACUACUGCUUCGCCAACCCCUGUCAGAACGGUGCUCUAUGCUUCAACGUCGCUAAAGACUACUACUGUGACUGUUCAGAAGACUACGAGGGAAAAAACUGCUCUCACCUCAAAGACCACUGUCACACCACCACGUGCAAAGUGAUUGACAGCUGCACGGUUGCCGUGGGAUCCAACAGUACCCCUGGAGGAGAGCGGUACAUCUCCUCCAACGUGUGUGGUCCUCACGGACGCUGUCGGAGCCAGGCGGGAGGACAGUUCAGCUGUGACUGUCAGGAGGGCUUCAGAGGCACAUACUGUCACGAGAAUAUUAAUGAUUGUGAGAGCAGCCCGUGUGGUAACGGAGGAACCUGUCUAGAUAAAGUCAGUGUGUACAAGUGUAUCUGUGGAGACGGCUGGGAGGGGGACCACUGUGAGAUCAAUAUAGAUGACUGCAGCACUAGUCCAUGCCAUAAUGGAGGAACAUGUCGAGACCUGGUGACUGAUUUCUUCUGUGAGUGUAUGAACGGCUGGAAGGGGAAGACCUGCCACUCCCGUGAGAGCCAGUGUGACGAGGUUACCUGUAACAACGGAGGGACAUGUCAUGAUGAGGGAGACACCUUCCAGUGCAAGUGUUCCCCUGGAUGGGAGGGGGCUACCUGUAAUAUAGCUAAGAACAGCAGCUGUCUUCCUAACCCCUGUCAGUACGGGGGAACCUGUGUGACCAGCGGGGACUCCUUCACCUGCGUCUGCAAGGAGGGCUGGGAGGGAGACACCUGUAAACAGAAUACCAACGACUGUAAUCCCCACCCAUGUUAUAACAGUGGGACCUGUGUGGAUGGUGAUAACUGGUAUCGAUGUGAGUGCACUCCAGGGUUCGCUGGGCCAGACUGCAGGAUCAAUAUCAACGAAUGCCAGUCCUCGCCGUGUGUGUUUGGUGCAACCUGUGUUGAUGAAAUCAAUGGCUUCCACUGCCUGUGUCCCCAAGACCGAUCAGGACCACGUUGUCAGGACGUGACAGGGAGACCGUGCUCAGGGAACAGUCGUGUCACCCCUGAUUUAGCCAAGUGGGAUGAGGACUGCAACACCUGCCAGUGCUUUAAUGGGAAGGUUGUCUGUACUCGAAUGUGGUGUGGUCUUAGGUCCUGCCGAGUCAGCGGUGGGGUUAAAGGCCACGGUAGCAGAGGAGGUGGGGUCGGGUGUCUGUCUGGUCAGAGCUGUGAACCAAUCAGGGAGGAGCAGUGUUUCAUCCGACCGUGUCUGGGUCAGGGGGAGUGCCACCCCUCCUCCCCACCGCCCAACAAAUGCCACCCCAGCUCCGGUUACCACGACAACAGCUGUGCUAACGUAACACUUACGUUCACCAAAGAUACCAUGCCCAGGGGUCUGAGUAUUGAGGCAGUGUGUAAGCAGCUGAGACAACUGUACGUGGUCAAGAAUGUGUCCUCUGAGUGUUCUGUUUCCAUAACCUGUGACCCUUCAACCUCCGCCAGCAACGAGAUCCAUCUCAGCAUAUACACAGUGGACCAGUGGAUGGACAGAUCACCUAUAAAGGAGAUAACAGAGAGGAUCAUCGAUCUGGUGUCUAAACGCCAUGGCAACAACAGCAUCAUCACCGCCAUUGCUGAGGUCAGAGUUCAGCGGACGCCGAGCACUAGCCACACCGACUACAUGGUCCCCCUCCUCUCUUCAGUCUUCAUCGUCUUGUGGAUCCUGGUGCUGGUCUCCGUCUUCCUGUGCUGCAUGCGUCACCGGCGCAAACAUGGCAACGGAGCAUCGUCGUCCGCGGCGACAGAUGACAACACCACCAACAACGUCCGCGAGCAGCUCAACCAGAUCAAGAAUCCCAUCAACGUGAAUCACACCGGCAGCGGCCAUCUUACGACGUCAGUGGUCAUCAGAGACUACGAGGAUAAAAACUCGAUCGUCGCCAAGGUACGAACACACCACCGCCCUGAGGGGGAGGAGGACAACGAUAAAGAGAGACGGCUAGGGAAUAAAGGACGCUUUGUGGUUACAGCCAAACAGCCUGCCUACACUCUGGUGGAGUGGGAAGACUGGGGCCUCAAUGGAGGCCUGGGGGCCAACGGGCCCAACGAAGGGGACGUCAGGACCGCGGUGCAGCCCAGCUCCAAACACCCUAACUGGGUUAAUAAACAGGACAACAGAGCCCUGGAGACGCCACACAGCAUCAACCAGAUGGACUACAAUAGAGCCCUGGAGACGCCACAUAGCAUCAACCAGAUGGACUACAAUAGAGCCCUGGAGACACCACACAGCAUCAACCAGAUGGACUACAAUAGAGCCCUGGAGACGCCACACAGCAUCAACCAGAUGGACUACAAUAGAGCCCUGGAGACGCCACACAGCAUCAACCAGAUGGACUACAAUAGAGCCCUGGAGACGCCACACAGCAUCAACCAGAUGGACUACAAUAGAGCCCUGGAGACACCACACAGCAUCAACCAGAUGGACUACAAUAGAGCCCUGGAGACGCCACACAGCAUCAACCAGAUGGACUACAUCGUAUAGCAGGAAAUGAUAUAGCAGGAGGCAGGAAGUAGCAUGAAACCCUGUGUAAAGAAUUCCCCCUUCCUGGACGUUAUGGUCAUCCCGGCAAGGUGGUUCUUCUGAUACGCUGUGUUGACACUGUUUUCGUGCAACCAUUGACCUUAGUGAAGAGGACAAGGGGGAGUGUUCUGGGAUUUGUAGUUCCUAAACUGCUGCGUUAUUAUUCUGUGACUACAAGGUUUGUUGUUUGGAUGAAUGAAUCCAUGGCUGCAUCAGAUGUUGUACCCUAUUCCCUGUGUAGUGCACUACUUUUGACCAGGGCCCUACGGGUUUGAUGCACAAUGUAGGGAUUAGAGUGCCAUUUGGGACAUUUCCCAUGACUGUUAAUUUAAGUUUGGACAAGCUGGCUACACUUGCAGAAAAGGUUGAGGCUGACAACCAGGUGCUGUGUUUUCAUAUUUCAACACUUAUUACCUAAUAUUAUUAUCUAAUAUUAUGACCUAAUAAUAAGUGCACUACUUUUGACCAGCGCCCAUAGGGCUCCCUCCCAUAGGGCUCCUCCCAUAGGGCUCCUCCCAUAGGGCUCCUUCCCAUAGGGCUCCUUCCCAUAGGGCUCCUCCCAUAGGGCUCCUUCCCAUAGGGCUCCUUCCCAUAGGGCUCCUCCCAUAGGGCUCCCUCCCAUAGGGCUCCUCCCAUAGGGCUCCCUCCCAUAUGGCUCCUCCCAUAUGGCUCCUCCCAUAGGGCUCCUUCCCAUAGGGCUCCUUCCCAUAGGGCUCCUCCCAUAGGGCUCCUUCCCAUAGGGCUCCUCCCAUAGGGCUCCUCCCAUAGGGCUCCUUCCCAUAGGGCUCCUCCCAUAGGGCUCCUCCCAUAGGGCUCCUUCCCAUAGGGCUCCUCCCAUAGGGCUCCCUCCCAUAGGGCUCCUCCCAUAGGGCUCCUCCCAUAGGGCUCCUUCCCAUAGGGCUCCUCCCAUAGGGCUCCUCCCAUAGGGCUCCUUCCCAUAGGGCUCCUCCCAUAGGGCUCCUUCCCAUAGGGCUCCUCCCAUAGGGCUCCUCCCAUAGGGCUCCUUCCCAUAGGGCUCCUUCCCAUAGGGCUCCUCCCAUAGGGCUCCCUCCCAUAGGGCUCCCUCCCAUAGGGCUCCCUCCCAUAUGGCUCCUCCCAUAUGGCUCCUCCCAUAGGGCUCCUUCCCAUAGGGCUCCUUCCCAUAGGGCUCCUCCCAUAGGGCUCCUUCCCAUAGGGCUCCUUCCCAUAGGGCUCCUCCCAUAGGGCUCCCUCCCAUAGGGCUCCUCCCAUAGGGCUCCCUCCCAUAUGGCUCCUCCCAUAGGGCUCCCUCCCAUAGGCCUCCUCCCAUAGGGCUCCCUCCCAUAGGCCUCCUCCCAUAGGGCUCCCUCCCAUAGGGCUCCCUCCCAUAGGGCUCCUCCCAUAGGGCUCCUCCCAUAGGGCUCCUCCCAUAGGGCUCCUCCCAUAGGGCUCCCUCCCAUAGGGCUCCUCCCAUAGGGCUCCCUCCCAUAGGGCUCCUCCCAUAGGGCUCCCUCCCAUAGGGCUCCUCCCAUAGGGCUCCCUCCCAUAGGGCUCCUCCCAUAGGGCUCCUCCCAUAGGGCUCCUUGGUUUUCUGCAAAGUCACUGUUCAGUUAGUGGAUGUUGUUGGAAGGCCUCCCUUUCCUCUUGGGGUUUUCUGCAAAGUCAUUGCAAAACAGUCCAAAGAAUGCAACAUUUAAGUUAGCGACAGCACAGUAUAUUUUGUAUUUGUGAGUUUUCCAUCUGUUGGUUUACAACUAGUUCUGUCUUUGUGAAAAUGUAUUUUUAGCUUCCUACUACACGAACCAAACAGAUCCAUGGUUUAUCAUUUGUUUGUGGUGGGCGUGGCGAUGCCAGUAUUACUGGCACUAUGAAGAAUGUCCACGUCAAUCUAGAACGUGUAGCUAUGUACAUUUAUGAUUUAUUAACUUAAUAAUAAUCAAGGAGCCUAAAGAUAGAACAUACAAAUAAAAAGAGAAAUCUGUCUCUAGAUUUUGAAGGUUUCGGUAGCUUUGUAAGUUUACAUUUAAUUUUGAUUGACAUAUUUAUUUUAUGAAACGUCAGAGGAAGAAGUAAAUAAGGACUUUUUGAAGAAAAAUUAAUUCCCUGUUUAUUGUUUGUAAAAAAUAAUAAUAAUGAUUUCAAAUGUUUUCAAAUAUCCAUUUUGCCAGUUAGGGGGAUGAUGUAAUAAAAACAAGACUGGUUGCUUUGUUAUGGUGGCAGACAUAUUGCCAAGACUUUGCAGGUUAGGGGGAUGAUGUAAUAAAAACAAGACUGGUUGCUUUGUUAUGGUGGCAGACAUAUUGCCAAGACUUUGCAGGUUAGGGGGAUGAUGUAAUAAAAACAAGACUGGUUGCUUUGUUAUGGUGGCAGACAUAUUGUCAAGACUUUGCAGGUUAGGGGGAUGAUGUAAUAAAAACAAGACUGGUUGCUUUGUUAUGGUGGCAGACAUAUUGUUUGUCCUGAAAACACAAACCGCCUUUAGCAGCAUCUAACUCAUAAUCCACAAAUGAUCAAAGCACAUUAAACCGUGUAUCACAUUCUCACAAAACAAUAUCUGACAACUUAGGGGAGAGUGGGGUAAAUCAAGCCUUUUAUUGGUACAUUCAUCAUCACCCCGUCAAGGAAAUAUACUAUUCUUUCUAACAAAGAUAUCUACAUAUAUUUCAGGGUGUUGUGUAUCCCUGGAAAUAAUCAGAAUUCAUGUAGAAAUUACAGUUUUGAAAAUAAAAACUGGUCUCUUGGCACAAUUUAUCCUGGGAAGAAAACACUUCAAUUGGCUCAAUUUAACCCAAGGCAGACAUGUUUACUAUAUUUGCCCACGCAGCCACAAGGAUGCACUUUCAAGGCUAGGUUCAGGACCUCAUACUGAAGCUGAAAGAGACCCCGGCUGAUAUAUAGAACGAUCUUUAAAUAUACUUCCAUUUAGAUACAAGCAUCAUGAAAUGAAUUUGACUUGGGGGAAAAUCUGUUUAUUGGACCUGAUUGGUUCAUCCUGAUUGGUUCAUCCUGAUUGGUUCAUCCACUUCUCCAUGUGGUUUCUUCCUUCACUGACUCCGUGAAAUUAUAAAUAUUUUUUGUCAACUGAUACGUUUUCUGUAUGGUUUCCUAGAAAGAAGGGUGGCUCAACUUACCCUACUCUCCCCUAUGGCAAAUCACACAACAAUCACACAUCAAUGUCUACUGGAACAGUAGGGGGGGGUCAAUAGUCUAGCCUGAGUCCCAGAUCUGUUGGUGCUGUCUUGUCAUGUCCAUUGCUAUGACUGCUGUCACACAUGUUGGGAAGACUGCACAGACAGAUCUGGGACUCGAGCUAUGGCAGCGUUUCCCAAACGUAGUCCUGUCGAUCCCAAGAGGUGCAUGUUUAUGGUUUUUGCUCUACACAUCUGAUUCAAAACUCAUCUGUGAUUAUUAGAAUCAGCUGUGUAGAACAAAGCCAAACGGUGCACCUCUUGGAGUCUCCAGGACGGAGUUGGUGAAACGCUGGUCGUCAACGGGAACGGGAUCACGUAAACACGCAUUUCCUUCUCUCUCUGCUCGGCGCUGUGGGAGACUGGUGUUUUGUUUCUGUUUUAAAUGCACAUGUUAUUUUAAACUAUUGAAAGGCUCUUUGAAAGAAGACAUGUUUUUUUUAUUUCUCAGAUGUACUUUCUGACAUCAUGGAAACAUUCAUUUAGUGUUUCCUCUCUUGUUAUGGAUUUUAGAUUGUAUUUGUGUUCUGUAGCACAGUUGGUAGAGCAUGGCGCUUGUAACGCCAGGGUAGUGGGUUCGAUUCCCGGGACCACCCAUACGUAGAAUGUAUGUACACAUGACUGUAAGUCGCUUUGGAUAAAAGCGUCUGCUAAAUGGCAUAUAUAUUAUUAUAUUAUGAUGUUGCAAUCCUGGCAAUCUUUUUAGAGGGUUUUGUUCUUUUGAAAAAGGUCAAUAUUUAUAAAAUAUUUUGUAUGAAAAGAGAUAAUAAAACAGUCCCUGUUCUGGA